rnacentral:rRNA from 1 species
AGGGCAACAGGUGAAUGCCUUGGCGCUGAGAGGCGAUGAAAGACGCGGUAAGCUGCGAUAAGCAUCGGGGAGGAGCUAAACAUCCUACGAUCCGAUGAUUUCUGAAUGGGGAAACCCGAUGGGAGUCAUGUCCCAUCAUCCUGAGCUGAAUAUAUAGGCCCAGAGAAGCCAACCCGGGGAAGUGAAACAUCUCAGUACCCGGAGGAAGAGAAAUCAAACGAGACUCCCAAAGUAGCGGCGAGCGAAAUGGGAAGAGCCCAAACCGAGUGGUUUCGACCAUUCGGGGUUGUAGGGCCGGCAUACGCGAUUCUGGAGUAGGCAGAGGAAGUGAGCUGGAAAGCUCCGCCACAGCGGGUGAUAGCCCCGUACUCGAAACCGAAAAGGACGCAGCCGGUACCUGAGUACUGCGAGGCACGUGGAACCUCGUGGGAAUCUAGGGGGACCAUCCUCUAAGGCUAAGUACUCCUCAGCGACCGAUAGUGAACUAGUACCGUGAGGGAAAGGUGAAAAGAACCCCUGUUAGGGGAGUGAAAUAGAAUCUGAAACCUGUUGCCUACAAGCUGCGAGAGCUACUUCGGUAGUGAUCGCGUGCCUUUUGUAUAAUGAGUCAGCGAGUUACUCUACCGUGCGAGGUUAAGCGAAAGCGUAGCCGUAGUGAAAGCGAGGCUUAAUAGGCCGACUAGUACGUUGGAGUAGACCCGAAACCGGGUGAUCUAUCCAUGAGCAGGUUGAAGCAAGGGUAAAGCCUUGUGGAGGACCGAACCGUCAACGGCUGAAAACGUUCCGGAUGACUUGUGGAUAGGGGUGAAAGGUCAAUCAAACCCGGUGAUAGCUGGUUCUCCCCGAAAUAUAUUGAGGUAUAGCCUCGGGAAUUGAUUAGCGGAGGUAAAGCACUGACAGAGCUAGGGGUCCUACCAGAUUACCAAACUCUAUCAAACUCAGAAUGCCGCUUAAUUGUAUCCCGGGAGUCAGACGGCGGGUGCGAAGGUUCGUCGUCAAAAGGGAAACAGCCCAGACCAACAGCUAAGGUCUCCAAAUCCAUGCUCAGUGGUGAAGGUAGUGGAACCGUUUAGACAGCCAGGACGUUGGCUUAGAAGCAGCCAUCGUUUAAAGAAAGCGUAAUAGCUCACUGGUCUAAUGGCUCUGCGCCGAAAAUGUAACGGGGCUAAGCAUGGUACCGAAGCUUUGGCAAUCCCCUUUGGGGAUUGGGUAGGGGAGCGUUCGCUGCGGGCUGAAGGUGUAUCGGAAGGUAUGCUGGACUGCAGUGAAGUGAUUAUGCUGACAUGAGUAACGAUAAAAUAUGUGAAAAACAUAUUCGCCGAAAACCCGAGGUUUCCUGGGUAAAGGUAAUCUUCCCAGGGUUAGUCGGAUCCUAAGGUGAGGGUGAAAGCCGUAACCGAUGGAAAACAGGUUAAUAUUCCUGUACUUGUUGUGUAGCGCGAUGGAGGGACGCAGGAAGAUAGGCGGGCCGGGUGUUGGAUAUCCCGGUGCAAGCGUGUAGGAAUAUCCGGUAGGCAAAUCCGCCGGACGAAUCUGAGACGCGAGUCCGUGGGCGCAAGCCCUGAAGCCGUUGAGUCUAUGCUGCCUAGAAAAGCUCCUAAGUUUAUCCACAGCAAUCCGUACCGCAAACCAACUCAGGUGGGUGGGAUGAACAAUCCAAGGCGCUCGAGAGAAUCUGGCCAAGGAACUCGGCAAAAUAACCCCGUAACUUCGGAAGAAGGGGUGCUCUCUAGGGUGACAUGUUUAACAUAUGAAGCCCCGGGGAGCCGCAGUGAAUUGGUGGUGGCGACUGUUUACUAAAAACAUAGGUCUGUGCGAAGUCCUAAAGACGACGUAUACGGACUGACGCCUGCCCGGUGCUGGAAGGUUAAAAGGAGGGGUCAGCGCAAGCAAAGCUCCGAAUUGAAGCCCCAGUAAACGGCGGCCGUAACUAUAACGGUCCUAAGGUAGCGAAAUUCCUUGUCGGGUAAGUUCCGACCUGCACGAAUGGCGUAACGAUCUCCACACUGUCUCGGCCAGAGACUCGGUGAAAUUGCAGUCGCGGUGAAAAUUCCGUGUACCCGCAGAAAGACGGAAAGACCCUGUGCACCUUUACUAUAGCUUGACAUUGGAUUUUGGGCCUGCAUGUGUAGGAUAGGUGGGAGGCUGUGAACCCUGUACGCCAGUAUGGGGGGAGCCAUCCUUGAAAUACCACCC